CAAGGUGUCUGCCCUUAUGCUAUUCACUUUUUAUUCUGUAUAUGUGUCUUGCUUUUCUUUCCCUCUGAAUCUUCAGCAGUAGAUGUGCAUUAUGCUGCUGGAGGUGCUCCUGGUCCUGGGGACACUCCUCAUCUACUUCUUAUUUUCCAAGAAGAAAGAAGAGACACUGCCCUUCAAAGAUGGGUGGUGGGGCAGGGGACAAAAGCCUGUGACUAAAGAAGACUCAAGUAUUCGGCCAUUUAAGGUGGAGACUACAGAGGAAGAGCUGAGUGAUUUAUUUAGGAGACUUGACCAGGCUCGAUUCACUGAGCCACUGGAGAACAGCUGCUUCCAUUAUGGAACUAACUCAGUGCAUCUCAGGAAGAUUGUGUCCUACUGGAAAAACCAGUUCAAUUGGAAGAAACAAGUUGAAGUCCUCAACAAGUACCCACAAUUCAAAACAAAGAUUCAAGGCCUUGAUAUCCAUUUUGUUCAUGUCAAGCCUCCUCGUUUGCCCGAGGGCCAGGCUGCAAAGCCACUGUUAAUGGUUCAUGGUUGGCCUGGCUCAUUUUACGAGUUUUACAAAAUUAUCCCUCUCCUAACGGAUCCUGCAAGCCAUGGCCUUGGUGAAGAGCACGUUUUUGAAGUCAUUUGCCCAUCUAUCCCUGGUUAUGGUUUCUCAGAAGCACCCCACAAAAAAGACUUCAACUCUGUGAGUGCUGCUUCUGUUUUUUAUGAAUUGAUGCUCAGACUUGGAUUCAAUGAGUUCUACAUCCAGGGUGGUGACUGGGGCUGGCUCAUCUGCACCAACCUGGCCCAGAUAGCUCCCAACCAUGUGAAAGGUCUCCAUUUAAACAUGGUCUCGGUUUCGAAGCUGGGACUCACUCACCUGCUCUCCGUCCUGCUGGGCCGCUACUUCCCAGGGCUCUUCGGAUUCCAGGAUGAAGAUGUCAGGAGGAUGUUCCCUUUCCUGAAAAAAGGGCUCUACAGGAUCUUGUCUGAGUCUGGCUAUGCUCACAUACAGGCUACAAAGCCAGACACUGUUGGCUGUGGCUUGAAUGACUCUCCUGUGGGACUGGCUGCAUACAUCUUGGAGAAGUUUUCUUCAUGGACUGAUAUGGAAUUCCAGAAUCUAGAGGAUGGAGGACUAGAGAGGAAGUUCAGCAUGGAUGAUCUGCUCACCAAUAUCAUGAUCUACUGGGUGUCAGGCUGCAUUGUCUCCUCCAUGCGUUUCUACAAAGAAAACUUGCAGAAGGGGAUAGGCACACAGAAACAUGAAAAGCUCACAGUACAGGUACCCACUGGUAUUGCCUCCUUCCCCAAUGAAAUCCUGCACACACCCCAGGCUUGGGCCAAGAAGAAAUACACCAACAUUGUCUCCUUCCACUUCAUGCCUCGAGGUGGCCAUUUUGCAGCUUUUGAGGAACCUGAGCUUCUUGCUAAAGAUAUUCUGCAAUUUGUUGACAAAGUAGAGAAAGAGCAACUCUGGAAGAAGAAAGGGGAAUAACUUCCCUAAGAAACAGCAGGCAGGAAUUGGCUCACCUCUGACAAGAACAGCUGCUACAGGCACCAUUCCACAGCCUCCUGCACAAAUCUGUCCUGCCCUGCUCUGCUCACCAGAUUUUGAUUCCUCAUCUCAAAAGGGAGUGAAUUCUUCCUAUUUUAGGAACAUUUUUGUAAUUACAGAUUUAAAACAUAAAAGAACAAGAAAACCCUACUUCAUUCUCUAAAUCUAGAAUCCUAUCAUAAAGUAUUUCAAUGCCUGCAACCAAAUUGUGGUAUUUAGCAAUUCUUUAAAUCACUUGUUUUUCAAUUUUCAUCCAUGGAGAUAGCUGCUGGUUUUAUUUAUCUGUGUCUGUAGAUGGAGGGGGGAAAAUACUGAUAAUUUGCUUAGAAAAAAAACCCUUUGUAGAAUUCCAAGUAAGUUUUGACAUGGAACAUCUUCACUUGAGAGAAGCAACUCAGUGCUUUUCAUUUCAGGAGAGCAGGCUAUAAAAAAGCCAAUCAGUCUGAAAAUCCAAGCAUAAACCAGCACCAAAUGCAUGAAAGAUUUUCAUACAGAAGGGAGGCCAGCUGUGUAUAAAAAUACAUCUCUCUUAAAUUUCCUCAGCUCUCAGUCUUCCUCCUGUACUGCAACUUUUUUUUUUUUUUUUAAAUUUCAAUGAACAUACAAAAAGGCAACAGAUAGGUACCUUUCAAAACCUAACUUCUAUCACAAACUUUCACCCUUUUGUGCCAUUGCAUAAAAAUCACACAGCAGUAAUGAUGAGACAGCAACAAAAUCUGGCUCCUGCUUUAUUUAGGAGCACCUUAUGACAUACAAUACAUUGGACUUCUAGAACUCAAUCUUCAGCAUCAUUUCUGAGAAGAGUGCUUUCAUUAAUUAUUAACCAGCACUUAGUUAACCACUGAGUCUGGGAGCAGAUACAAAAAUUUGCUUCUCUCCUUCUUGGUUAUUUACAGUCCCACCCAUUUCCAUUUGAAUUUGUAUUGGCUGCAGCUGAGAUGCUCCAUUCUAACCAACAGGAUGUGGGAUACCAAGCAAAUGCCAAGACUUCACCCAAGAACCAAAAAAUUAUAGGGAAGAAUGUUCCAUUAUAAUGACCCAAUCUUCAGUCUCUCUACUUUUAGUUGUUUCCUUUCUGUUUUUAUCCUUCAGACAGCUGUUCUCAGAAAGAAAAAAAAAACUACUUCUGUAUUUCUGAAGUAUCUGAAACAGACACUUGCAGCUGUUACAGACAGGUGACAAGCAGAAUCCUUCAAGAAGUCUUGUCUAGAUAAGACAAAGAAGGAAUUUGCAAGAGCACUUUCAGAUAAGUCACAUGGCCAUUAUUUGGAAUUCAAAGUGUGCAUUUCCUUAUGUCGUUGCAGUUUUGAGACAAUAAAGGGUGUUUUUUCUUUGUAGUCAAUAGACUUGGGAUAAAGCUCCUUUAUCCCCAAAUCUUCU